rnacentral:rRNA from 1 species
CAGCCGUAAACUAUGCUCGCUAGGUGUCAGGCAUGGCGCGACCGUGUCUGGUGCCGCAGGGAAGCCGUGAAGCGAGCCACCUGGGAAGUACGGCCGCAAGGCUGAAACUUAAGGAUUGGCGGGAGCACAACAACGGGUGGAGCCUGCGGUUUAAUUUGGACUCAACGCCGGGAAGCUCACCGGAUAAGACAGCGGAAUGAUUGCCGGGCUGAAGACUCUGCAUGACUAGCUGAGAGGAGGUGCAUGGCGUAGACGUCU